UAGGGGUGUUCAAAACUACCCGACCCGCAUUACCCGACCCGCUGACCCACCGACCCGGUACAUUUAAAGCGGGUAAUAUACAGAUUUUUUAGGAAUAAAUGGGUCGGGGCAUGGGCCUCCCUUAUCGUUAAACGGGUACCCGAAUAUACCCGUUUAAAAAAAAAAAAAAAAACUCCCAUUAUUUGGAAUUUUGGGUACAGCAGGUCAACAGUGUUUGGCAAAGUUUCUCGAGUCAUAAGUCUCAUAAGUCAUAACAAAGCCCAAAAACAAGUAAACUAGGGUUUACUUUUCUUCGCUUCUUCGUUCUUCCUCUGUACUCUACUACUCUGUAUUCUCUCAACACUCAACCUCCCACCCUUCUCAGCGGCUCCGCCGCUCUUCUCUUUUCGACUCUUCCUCAGUCAGUCGCGGCUCCUCAGUCCUCCUCACUCCUCCUCUCUCUCUCACAGAUCUCGAGAUCCUCACAUCACCAGUUCACCACCGGUCUCGCAAGAUCAAGGCAAGCUCCACCCCGCACAAGCACCACCGCUCCAUUCAAGCCUUCAUCUUCGCUGCUAUAGCUCUGUGCUAUUGUUGAUUUGUUGGAAUAUAAACUUAAUUCAUACGAUUUUUUUUUGAAGAAACUUAAUUCAUACGUUGUGCUUCCUGACUUUUGCAAUUAUAUGUGUUUUUUUUUAUCUUUUUAGUUAAUAAUAUCUUGUAGUCAAGGUUUAAUGGACA